GGGAAUGGGAACACCAGGAAUGGGAACGCCUGGAAUGGGAAUGGGAACGCCAGGACUGGGAUGAGAACGCCUGGAAUAGGAAUGGGAACCCCCGGGCCCGGGCUGUGUCCCUGGCGGGAAUUGUGGCUCAGCGCAGCCAAUCACAAAAUCGCUUAUCCGAUGACAUCAUCAGUUACCGGGCAGAACAGGCUCCCCACCUUGUCCCGCCCUCGGCGCUGCGCAGCCAAUAGAAAAUCAGAGAGACAUCGGUGACGUCACUGGGGACACGGGUGACAGCCCUGGGGACAACGGGGACAUCACAGGGACAGCGGUGACGUCACAGGGACAGCAGUGACUCACCGGGGCUUUAAUUGGGGUGUGAAAAUCUCCUGCUUUGGGCAAUAAAUCCUGGCUCCUCCUCCGGCAUCCGGCAGUUCCGCUGUGGGAACAGGGAAUGGGAAUGGGGACGGGGGGGAAUGGGAUGGAGACAACAGGAAUGGGAUGGGAACACCUGGAAUGGGAUGGGAACGCCAGGAUUGGGAUGGGAACGCCAGGAUUGGGAUGGAAACGCCUGGAAUGGGAGUGGGAACCCCCGGGCCCGGGCUGUGUCCCUGGCGGGAAUUGUGGCUCAGCGCAGCCAAUCACAAAAUCGUCUAUCCGAUGACAUCAUCAGUUACCGGGCAGAACAGGCUCCUGGCUUUGCCC